CUUUAAGACCGGAGCGCCCUCGUGAGGAUGCGAUUCCCGUCUAAUGGUGACGGCCCUGUGUGCACUACGUCCUCCUCGUCGUCUACCGUCUCGUCGUCGUCGCGUGUCAUCGUCGUCGUCGUCGUGGUACCUCGUGCAAGCGCGCGUAUUAGCAGAGAGAGACCAACCUACCGGUGGUAGUCUCUUAGUGGUGGGGAUGAUUCCGCGAACGAGCCACCUACAGUCGUCGCGAGCGAGAGCGGAGCAGCAUUGCUUGUUGGACCGUCGACUAGGUCGGAUUGUUCAACUUAACAUCAUUUCUACGUGAUUUUUUAUGAUCUAGAUUCCUCUUUUUACCAAUUCAAAUGUUGUUUUCCCUCUUUAUGCAAUUAUAGAUACAUUUAAACAAAAAAUAAAUUAUAUUCCAUCGAAUUUGUUUGUAAUUAUGAAGUUUAUCUUUUUACAAUUCUUACGAAUACUGUUCAUCAAUAUACGUGCGUGAAAUCUGGUUCUGUUGUGAAAGAGAAAAAGACUAAGUGCAUAAUAUUUGGAAUCGACUAACGAUACAACAGUGCAUCGCGAGUGAAGAAGAAUCCGAUAAUUAGUGUUUGUAGGUCAACCAUUUUGGUGAACUCUAAUGGACAAGAUAGAAAACGCUAAUGGUACAAUCCCGUUGACGGGCAGGCACCGUAGAAUGAGUCACGCUUGUCUCGUUCCCCGUUAUUUUAUUAAUCGAGUAGUCGUCGAGGAGGCCGUACUCGAGUAGUAGCUCGAUCGCAAAAGUAAGAGAACGAUCGUUUACUCUCCAGGAAAAUUAGAAUCAACGCAACGCGAAUUGGUCUACCACCAAUCCCCGCCAUCAUCGUUGAAUACUAUGUCAUUUUCUUGACUUCUAAUAUUUUCAAGACGACAACAACAACGUAUCGCAUUCUUCCUUUAAAAGCUACGUGAGAAAAUCCGCCAAUGGGAAGAGUUGAAGAAGAAGAAGAAGAAGAAGAAGAAGGUGGAAGAUCGUCGUACAAUGUAAAAGCAAGGCGCCAGAGCAAGCAAGAAAUUUUACGCUUGACUUGACGCCAUCGUUCCACAACCUCUAAACUUCUCUCCUUUUCGUCCUUUCUCCUUCACAAAUUCAACCAAACGAUUCAUCAUUGAUUCCACGAUCAAAUAAAAAACAAAUCUACCGACAAAUUUUCGUGUUUUCUUUUAUCAUAGAAAUUUACUUACGAAUAAGAAAAAUCAAAGUUCAUUGGCGAGGACGUUUCACAUGGAAGAAUCGUUUUUCUGGAGCAUCCUAAAAUAACAGGCUACUUGGUUUGAAGACGUUUCAGUCGGUAAGUCAACAACAUCCAAAGAGAUUAUUUCACGAGUAGCAAGUAGAUCUAUUCUCAGUGAGACGAAGAAUGUCGCGAGCAGCGUGAUUGCCGUUCGUUGGGUUCCGCAAAAGAUCGGUAACACAGCCGACAUUGCGCCGAGUCGCAGGAGGACACUGCCCUGAAAAGUGACGACCUCUAUUCCUACGCUUCGUCGUUGUUGAUGUCCAACUGCGACUACGACUACGACUACGACGACAACGACAACGACAACGGCAACGAUAUUAAACCGGACGUAUCGUUACGAUCUUGCUACUAUCCUAAUCUUUUUCAUCACAGAUUGUGACAACAAAUAUUCUCCCUUGCAUCAUUGUAUAUCACAAGCAACAACUUAGCGAAACUUACAACA